GGAGGGUCCAAGCGUUAUCCGGAAUCAUUGGGUUUAAAGGGUCCGUAGGCGGUUUAAUAAGUCAGUGGUGAAAGCCCAUCGCUCAACGAUGGAACGGCCAUUGAUACUGUUAAACUUGAAUUAUUAGGAAGUAACUAGAAUAUGUAGUGUAGCGGUGAAAUGCUUAGAGAUUACAUGGAAUACCAAUUGCGAAGGCAGGUUACUACUAAUAUAUUGACGCUGAUGGACGAAAGCGUGGGGAGCGAAC
rnacentral:rRNA from 1 species